CAGGGGAAGUGCUUUUAUUCUGAAAUUUCCACCGGAAGUUAAGCUGAAAAGGAAGUGCUUUUAUUCUGAAAUUUUCACCGGAAGUUAAGCUAAAAUGGACGUGGUUUUAUUCUGACACUUUCACCGGAAGUAAAGCUGCAAUGGAAGUGCUUUUAUUAGGAAAUUUCCACCGGCCCUAGCAGCUAACUGCCUAGCAGAAAGUAACUUCACAGUCAGCCUCGGAGGGAGCACGUUUCAUCCAAGAGAGAAGCUAGCAGCGGUGAGGAUUGUUAAACUCUUCAGAAAUAAUGUUUUGUCCAUAUUGUGGGAUAAACCUUGAGAGGGUGCUCUCCUACUGCGGCUCUUGUGGCAGAAAUAUCCAGUGUUUAACAAGUCUUCAAUCCGAAGCAGGUCCUGAAGAAACUACCAUGGAUGAACUCAUCUACAAAUAUUUCACAGAUGGUCAUACCUCUGAUAUAAUAGUGGAUUUACUAGCAACCAAACACAACAUUUCAACUAGCCUCAGCACAGUAAAAAGAAGAUUAAGACCUUAUCUUAUCUGCCAUUGAAAUGUCCGGUUAUCUGCUAUGGACACGGAAGAGCUUUUUGAACCCCAGCUCAGUCCUCUCGGCAGCAACAUGCGCAUUCUGGAGAACACAGCAAGAGGUUUCUGGGCAGACUACCUUUUGGACUGUGAAGAAGAUGACAGCUCUGUGACCCUGGAGGAAAUCUUAAUGUUUGCCACAGGUGUGCCAUGCAUCCCUCCUGCUGGCAUGGAUCCUAAGCCACACCUUGAAUUUAUUGGCAGUUCAAUGUUUCCCAUGGCGAAUACAUGUGCCAACACUUUGAAGCUGCCUCUCUUGAAUGACUAUGACACGUUUAAAACAAAUAUGAACUUUGGGAUUAAGAAUUCCCCUGGAUUUGGAUGUUUUUAAACAGUCUGAAAAAGUCUAAAAAAAAUAGCAAAGCAAACGAAAGAAGAAAGACAAGAGUGGUUUUGUUCAGGAUGGGGAAAUUUAUUUUGCUUUUUCAAAGAUUUAAAGUAUUAAACAAGUGUUUUUUGUUCUGUAUUUUUUUAUUCCUAUUUAAAAAUGUUCCAGUGUUUCUGUGUGCCAAUGGGUAAUAGAUGAAAAUAAAAUGUUUUGACCGUC